GAUGCCCUUAGAUGUUCUGGGCUGCACGCGCGCUACACUGAUGUGUCCAGUAAGCACCUAACCUCUUCCGAAAGGAACGGGUAACCUUAGCAAAGCACAUCGUGAUGGGGAUAGAUUAUUGCAAUUAUUAGUC
rnacentral:rRNA from 1 species